rnacentral:rRNA from 1 species
CAGCCGCCGCGGUAAUACGGAGGGGGCUAGCGUUGUUCGGAAUUACUGGGCGUAAAGGGCGCGUAGGCGGAUUGUUUAGUUAGGCGUGAAAUUCCUGGGCUCAACCUGGGGGCUGCGUUUGAUACUUGGUUGCUAGAGUGAGGAAGAGGGUCGUGGAAUUCCCAGUGUAGAGGUGAAAUUCGUAGAUAUUGGGAAGAACACCGGUGGCGAAGGCGGCGACCUGGUCCUUGACUGACGCUGAGGCGCGAAAGCGUGGGGAGCAAACAGGAUUAGAUACCCCCGUAGUCCCUGUCUCUUAUAA